GCCUGUCUAGCUCAGUUAGUACAGCGCAAGGCUCUUGACCUUGAGGUCGUGGGUUCGAGCCCCACGGUGGGCA
rnacentral:tRNA from 1 species